GACAGAGGGUGCAAGCGUUGUUCGGAAUUACUGGGCGUAAAGGGCGUGUAGGCGGCGGGGUGUGUCCGGCGUGAAAUACCUCGGCUCAACCGAGGAAGUGCGCUGGAUCCUACUCCGCUUGAGUGUGAGAGAGGGUGGCGGAAUUCUCAGUGUAGAGGUGAAAUUCGUAGAUACUGGGAGGAACACCGGAGGCGAAGGCGGCCACCUGGAUCACUACUGACGCUGAAACGCGAAAGCGUGGGUAG
rnacentral:rRNA from 1 species